CCAGGAUAGAAGAUAAGAAUUUAAAUGAUAAAACAACAUGUGCAUGAUUUAUAAAAAAAUCUAGACAUUUUAAACCCUUGGGAAAGUUUGACAAAACAUUUAUGUUGUCAUCCACCUGGCUUCCAGAAUCCAGAAAAUAUUUCAGACAAGAUAAAGGUGCCAAUUGACAAGAAAGCAAGUACACAGCAAAAUAUUGAUGUGAAAACAUUAGAAAAGUGUUAAAAAUUAAAAGAAUUGGGGAAGAUGUUCAUAAUCAAGUUACUAGCACUAGGUAGGUGCAUAUCAAAUUUAAAAUUUCUGAACUGGUUAAAUGGCUUCUGAUGAAGCAAUAGAACAUGUCGGCCUAUCAACCCAGAAUAUAUACUUGCAAUGCCAUAUGGAGUAUUUAAUCCUGUGCCUUGCUUUCUAAGAUUCUUCCAGUAUCAGCAUCAUCCACAGAAAAUCUGGUGCCACAGGGAAAAGUCAUAGUGCUGAAGCAUAAAGCUAUUAAGGGUAAUCUAACUACAUUUGAGGCAGUCCCUAAUCUGAGGAUAACUUCCUCCGUCCCACAUUGAAAAAGAGAAACACGCACACACAAAAUAAUUGUAGUUAUUGGUUUCAUCAGUAAGCUGUUCGCUGAUGAUUUUUUACCUGAAUUCGGGGUUAAUUUUUCUUUUCACUUUAGCCUUGGGCAAUUUUGGGUUAUAUUUGUUGCGCUUGCAGAAGGAAAAGAUCUUAGCAGCCAAAGGAUGCGAUGUGUGAACAAAUAGUAGAUCAAGACCCAAACUGUUUCUUCGUUUUUCUUCAUCCUAGAUCAGAAAAAUAUUAUUCAGCAUUUUUAGAGAACAUACAGGUAACUGAGAAUGCUCAAACAUAUUCAUAUGCAGAAUAACACAGAAAAAAUUACAUCACAUAACAAUGCAAUCACCGCUUUGUAUGGGUGAAAAUGUUUUAAUCAACAAUAAUGCUGCCUUUCUGUCAACGCAACUUCGUACUGGUUACAACACUACUUGUAUACAGUAUAUACAGAUCAGAACUUACUGUCAAAGUAUGUUCAGCUUUUUCAAUCUCUGCGAGAAGGCAUAACUCGUUGAUGAAUGGUAAUUUACACACCGCCUGCCAAAUCAUGAGGACAACUAAGUAAAAUCAAGCUGCCCUACAAAAUUGUUCAAUUAGAGAAGAUCUGUGUACAGCUGUUCAUAAGGUUUAUUCAGGCGCAUUUUACACAUUCAACUGCACAGGUCUCAGUCCCAUAAAAAUCAGCUAUUCUGAAACUGUAAAUUCAAUUUUAGGGUCUCAUGCAAUGCUAUCUUCUCUUUCUUUCCCUUUACUUUUGCUCCCACUUAGAGGUGAGAUGAAGGCUAAAUGACAUUCAGGAUUAACAUCACCUUUUAGAUCCUAAUGGACGGGCUAGUAAGAAGCAAACUAGAAUCCAAAGGUUAAAUAAUGAAAACUCAAACACAGUUUUGACUAUUAUAAGCAGAUAACAACUCGCACCACAAUUUACAGGUAUCAAAUUAAGCGCACGACCAGAAUACAUCAAGUACAGUUCUAUACAUGACAAUGAAAUAUGCUCCUUAUUAACCCGAACAUGAACCUAAGGAUAGCAUACAAUUCAUAGUAUAACAACAUAUCAGCAAAUAUUUUAUGCAAAGGCACAGAAAGAUAAAAGACCUACAUUAAGCCAUUGAUCAAUUCCAGAAUAACACCUGUUCAGCAUGAAAGUAAAAUAGCUAAGAAAUUUUCAUAAUUUAGAAGUAAAGCAAUUUACUAAACCAUACCUGCCAAGCAUGUCUUUUUCCGUUAAUGUCAAGUUCAAAAUCUGCGAGACAUAACCUCCAAUCAGUUUAGCACAAGGAACAGUAAUCAUGCGAAAAAGAUUUAUGGUACAAUCACCGUACCCCUUGGGUAGAAGUCCAAAAUAGGAGAUGAUGGAUCUGUCAUUAACUUUCUGUAAAAGAAUGGGAGUGCCUGCGCACUAAAUGUUCAAGAAGUCAAAUGCUAAAUCUGAAAGGUUAUUAGUCCAUGUACACAUGAGACAAUAAGUUAGGUUCUAAACCUUGCAGCAGGGAGAACUGCCAUUAACUGAUCAAAAGGCUUAAACGGUUUACCAAGAUUGAACUUUAUUUCGAGCUGGUGAAGACAAUGGAAAUCUGAUGCAAAUGGAGCAUAGUGAUAAGGAUAAAACCUGCAAAUUGGAACUAAAUUAUGUUUCUAAGUUACACAAAAUUUUCAGAAAAAUACACCUUCUAAAAUACAAUUCAGCGCAACAAAGUUUGUCAGAACAAUGUAAGAACAUCAUAUAUUGAAAAUAAAGAUCAUAAACAAUGCCUCAAAUUCAGUUUCUGCAAUCAGGGUUCUCUGGAUCCUAUUUUGUAUGAAUUACUUUAAUAUUAUUAUGUUCUUUAAUGACUCAGCUACUAGUCAAAUUCAGUACAAACCAUUGCCAAGAGCAAACUCCUUGGUAGUAAUAAUGCAUGACCCAAGAAAUUCCUUCGACAUAUUUGAAGACCUACAUCAAAUAGAGCUCAAUAAGAAACAUUUGAAAGAGCAAAGAAAUAAAAUAGAAAGAUUAACUAGAGGUCCAAAAAUAACUAGGAUUACUGUGACACGAGCUUGAGGUAAAUAAAGAUAAAUCUAUAGUGAAAAUAUAAAUCAAGAGAGAGACAAUAUCCCUCACCAAGUUAUAGCUGAUUGCAAAGAGAAAAAGAAAUAGAGGAGUAGAAAACAAGAAGAAUUCACAUACAAAGUCAAUUAGAAAAAGAAAACGCAUGCAAGUGAGAGUCAUCAAGAGAACCUAAGAAAUAGAAUCAACAGCAAAUAGCAUAAAACGUGCAAUUAAGGGGCAGAGCAAAGUUUGAAAGCCAUAGACCUAAUGGUAUUGGCACGGCAGCAAUAUCUCCUUACCGCAUGCCUUUGUAUUUUUCCAUACUCUUCAUCAUUUUGAACCUCAAAUUUUUCAAUAUAAUAUCUUUCCUUCCAUCCCUCUUCUCCUAAUUUGACCUGCAAAACAAAUAUCCAUUAGGAGUUUUGCAGAGAAAAACAGUUGAGACUUGGUCUACAUAAUUACAGCCAAAUAUAAGAUGGGAAGAAUAAGAAACACAUGGAAGAGGAGCAACCUUGUCAACUGCAAAUCUGGUUUCGGUACAAAAAUGGUCUGUUGUACUCUGAACUUCCAUGGCUCUAGACUGAUGAAGAAACCAGCAUAAGAGGGUACAAUUACGAUCAAACAACGCAAAGACUAGUAAAUUUCAGUCGAAACUUCAAACUGAAUAUCACUUUAACUGAACAACGUUUCAAGUUUAUAUCCCAUGCUUUUUGUGCCUGGCAAAAGAAAAUUACAACAUGAUUAUAUGUAGAUCACACAAUAGACAAUACAAAGCAAGUAGAAUAUUCAUGUGCAAGCCAAUGAAACAGCAAAUAGAUAUGAUUUUCACCUUUAACCAACAUUAAAAUGAAAUCAAGUCACAAUAGAGAAAAAUAAAAGUCACCUGAUACUAUCCAGCAUGAAAUAUUAACCAACCAAAAAGAACAUGUCCUAAAACUUAAGAAGCCUGAUAAAACUAAGUAACAAAUGUUACCUGUGCACGUUUCCUGAAUAUGGCAUUCUCAUGUGCUCCAACUGCUUUUACAAAAUGCUCCACCCGCUCCAAAUCAACCUAUGCAAUCCAAUAUACAGGUUACUGAAGCAAAGAACAAAGGUCUUGAAAAACGAUCAUAGCACAAUAUAUUGGGAGUGCAGAGUUGCGGCUGCGGCUAGCAUAAUGAGUAGAGAUUGCACUUGAAGUGAAGGAGCUAAAAAGGGGGGAAGACUACAGGGCUUCAUAAAAUCAAAUCAGUAAAAUUUGACAACAAAGAAUAAGAAUAGCUUGACAGAAUCAAUCUUUAUGAGAGCUGAAAAAUGCUAGUCACAUAUCACAGUAGUCAAUGCAUAAGUAUGAGACAAGUCGAUUCAAACAGCAAGCAAAGGACCAAGUAUAUAAAACGAAAAUGAAAUUACUGUUUGACUAGCAGAGAGCAAGAAACCAAUAAAGAGAGGAAUAAAACGGUAAGAAAUUCCAGAUCAAAAACUUUAAGAUCUUUCUGAAAUAAAAGCACAAAAAAAAUUUUGCAUUUAUCAAAGGAGGGCAGAGUUUAACAGGAGAUGAAAAAUAAUGCAUGGAAAAGUGUUUUGUAUUUUAAAUGCCAGGAAUACGAUCCUCAUUCAUUUCUCAGUACAUAAAAGAUAGAAAACAAAAUCAACUGCAGUUUUGUUGAAACUGUCAACGAACAAAGGAAGUUGAAAUAUAGCUUUUGAUCCAGCUGCAAGAAUUAUGCACUUGAACUCUGAACAGGUUGAGCCCAGAAAGCAGGAAAACCUUGUUCCUCUCAAUCUCAUGCAAACAUGAGCUGUCAAGGUUAAGCAUAAUAAUAAAUUGGCUUGAAAACUAACAUAUCCAAUGGUUAACUAAACCAUUAGGCAUCAUGAAUAAAAUUGACUGAAGCUCCUAUAAAUGAAUGAAAUGCAGCAGAAUAAACUUUUAAGACUACCUCACAAGAAUUAGUAAGAUAACCACCCAUUUGAGUGAACUCUUUCUUGUACACCAACAUGAGCAAAUCAAUUGCCCCCUAAAAGAAAUAGAACACGCCAUGGAUUAGUGAUACUUCAAAAGAAAAGGGACUGAAUAUUUAGCAUGCCCGAUUAAUCUUAAAUUGAAAAACAUUGUGAACCCGUUGCCUCAAAAUUUUUGUUUCACACACAACCCAAUAUUGCAAUUUGCCACGUGGACUGAAUGCAUAUACCAACCUCUGAUAUUUCCAGCGAUGGCACAUGUGGUAAAAAAUCAUUACCAACAAACAGACACAUGAAUACAAAAUCAUCUAUGAGUCGGUCCAGGUCAACUUUCACUGUUGCAUCCGGUAUUUGCAACUCAUGUGCUAAGUAGUCCCUGAGUACCCAAAUGUGGAGAAACUGAAAAAGAAGAACCAGUAGUUACAAAAUCAUUUGCUACAUUAUCUCUGAUCACUACUAUGUUCAAAGAUAGAAACACAACAAUCAGGUUACAGAUUUCAAUUUUGCACCAUUUCAUCUGCCAGUGAACCAACAGCAAAAAAAUAGAUGCUUUGUCAAGAAGAAAUGGAUGAAGACACAUGGAUAGAAGAAGGAAACAAAGUGCUGAAAGUUCCAAAUUAUCAGAAACAAAUUUGUUGGGUGGAAGAUGUUAAUGUAUGAUCAACUUGUACAUCUUACAUCAGAUUCACAAAGAUUCUAACACUCUUGAAGAGAGACCCGUACUAUGUGAUUGCAAAAAUAAAUAUCCAACAAGGAGAAGGAAAUAAUUAGUGAAUGUGUUCAAUCAAUAGGCAUCUAUUGGCAUAAUUAUCAGUAGUGAGAGUCAAGUGAAGCAUAGCCCCAGCCAAAGCACAAAAUGCAUAGAGAAAUCGUACACCCAACAUAGAGCUGACAAUGAUAAAAAUAUAGUAAAGAAUGGCAUGGCAUUACACACAUACACUACUACGUAAGUGACUUGUCAAAGGCAACAACUUAUUCUAACAACUUACUGUAACAAGUGCCAUCCUAAAGUUGAGAAGAAAUUGCAAAAACAGUUGAAAAAAAAAUCAUGCAUUAAUUUAACAACCAAGGUUGUAAGAUCGAAUCAAUGAUGCUUUUUAAAGAAAUAUCCUUGCAUCAACUGCAGAUCUUAUCUUUUUACUCCUAAAUUUCUUAGAAUGGCAAUUCAAUCAAAGAGCAUAUAAACCAUUAAGUGUGUAAAAGAAGGAACCUAACCUAGAACAAAAACAUUACAUGAUGCACAGUGCAACAAUUUGCACUAACUUUUCUCUAAUCCAACAAUUACCUUAGUUUCAUACAGGAACCGUGAAAUAAAGUGUAAUUGCAAUGAAGGAUUUCAGUAAUUCCAUUUAAAUGAUAAUCAACCUACAAGUGCCAGGUCUCUUACAACCAUAAUUGAUGAAAUUCUUCAUUGCCAGAGCCUCUUUUAAUUUGUAUAAGAUGGUACAAUUACUACCAUCAUGAAAAUAGUAUCAGUACCUUAAUAAAGUUUUUGCUGAUCACUUCACUCAAGAUAACGUUGCUAAACUCAUGCACCAAAUAUAAAACCAAAUUCUACAGAGGCCAUCAACCAAAAUCAUGUCAUGACAGUGAAUGGGUAAUAUGACUGUUACCUGAAAUCUUUGUCUUGAUAUAAAGGCUUCAAAAUCCCUAAGAUAUCCUUCCCCUUGCAUUGGCUUCACCAUUUCUUGUCUUUGGUUUUUGUCCUUAGGCAGAGCUUUGCGGACAUCCUACACCGUGCAUAAAAAUAAUGAACUCAUUAUAACUUCCAGACAACUAUAAACCACCAGCCAAGACUUAAUUAAAGAAGAGGGAUCAAAUACAAUCCCCUAAACUUAUACCUCUCUCAAAAUAGAAAAAUGGAUUUCAUGUGCAGCCAAUGCAAGCAUUAUCAGGUCUGCAUCCUAAAGAAAUUAGAAGAAAAGUAGGCACAUUUAGAUCAAGUCACCUCCAAUAAAUCCAUCACAAUGCAUAAAGGUUUCUGGAAGGUUUUCAUAGCAAAAUUUAGAGUGUUUACCAACUUUUGUCUAAUUUUUUUACAUCGAUAGGCAAAAGACAGGAAAGUACAUAAACCUAACAUCAAAAACAGAGAAGAAAAAAAAAUCUAAUGAGAAGAUUUUUACCAAUCCAUACAAACAAUGUCGUGUAUUUGGAUCAAAUCCUGGCAAAUUUCUUUGCAAACGGAUGUAAGACAUAAUCUUGUGUUCCCCUUCACCAGGCACACUAGCAUCAGACAGAAUAACCUAAAAAAGAUCAGCAUAGUCAUAUGGUAUUACAUUUGUGGAGGGGGAGGGAUGUGUAUGUGUGCGUGAGAGAGAGAGAGAGAGAGAGAGAGUCUGUGUGUUUUUAGACCGGUCCAAAAGGAACAACAAAUCAAAGUCCUAGAAAUUGAACCGAAAAAUGCCUUGAUUCCUCGCCAACCGGAGACGGAGUUCAUCUUCAAGUGUACAUAAUAUCGAAGUGCAGAUGACAAGAGUUGCAUGAAUUCAGUUCCAGGAGUAAUUAUAUUAGAAUCCAGCUUUUUAUUUCCAAAAUCCUCUCCUUCUGGCACAUGGACCCCUUUCAAUGUCUCUGUUUUAGAUGCCUGAUCAUAAUCAAAUUCCAGCCUAUUAGUUAUGUUGGAAACAGAAUAAAAGUACAGGGGCAAAACAAAAGACGAAAUGGUGGAAUGAUAACAUCUGCAGAAGCCCCGCUACCCAAAAAAAAAAAAAAAAUACAGACUUCAUCUGCCGCAUCUUUAGCAGCUCUGAACCGUCUUGCCCGCUGUUGAUUCAUCUUGGCACGCGGUGCCACACCAUCUGAGAGAUUAACGUUGGGAAUGUUUGAGUGAGACUAACAAUCCAAGUGGCGUCCUAAUGAAGCACUUAGAAAAGAGUUGUAAACUCAAACUCCACCUAGUAGUAAACGAAACAGUAAAUGCAGACAAAAGAAAGAAAUAUAAAGCUGGAGAUGUUGAUUUCAGCAUAAGUUAGCAAUAGACGGGAAUGGACGUACCAAUUGCCAUGUAAAAAAGUUUGCGCGGCCUAAUCAUGGAGAAUAAUCUGUCAAUGUACUUGAAUACCGCCUUAAAUACUUGGUCAUAAGUCUCCGGAGCAGGCUGUGAAGGAAGUUCACGAAUACCGCAUCAUUUAUUACGAAACAAAGCCGUUCAACAAAAACUAGAGAAGCAGUUCAUUUGUAAGAAAAAUAUCGAGCAGUAAUUUUGUCUGGUCUUUAUGAUACCAAUCCAUCGGGAUGAAAGCAGGGAUGGAUGAUUCCAUUCAUGUCCAGAUAGAGGUUAUCGAACUCGAGGCCGUUAGGGUUUGGAGCGGUGGUAUCAAUUGGAACGUCGACAACUGAGCGCGGGUAUCGUUCUGCUAGCCACCGAUAGAAUGCCGGUAUUCCCAUAGUCUACUUCACUGUUAUAUGCUCCCAACCUCACUUAGUCCCUCAGUCACUACUCCCUCCCGAACCGACUUGACUUGCCGUCUACUGACUGCUGAAAAAGGCGGAGGAGAGUAGGCAGCGUAACUGCUGGGGGAUUUUACUUCUUUUUUUUUCCUUUUAAAUUUCCGGGAUUUAGGGUUUUCAAGAUUCUCAGAAAGUUUCUGGGGCCGGUUUUCGUCCCUGCUCCUUCUCUGAUAGAUGACGAGCCCGGGGGCUGAACUUGUCCUGCGUUAACGGUACUACCAUCAAAACGUAGAUUAAUUUUAGGGUUAAAUGCAGAAAACCCCAUGAAUUUUUAUAGCCGUUGCACAAUACACCCCGAAAUAUGUUUAUAGGCACUUUACACCCAAGCUCCACUGAAAAGUAACGAAUCUUUACACACCGUUUAUUUUAUCACACAAAUGACAACUUUAUCCUCAGAUAAUAAUUGAACGGACAAAAGCACCCUUUGUUAGUGUUGCUCAUUAACUAGUUGGAAAGAGGGCAAUUCUGCUCCGCAAAUCGAGAUCUCUGCAUAAUUCAUACCAUACAUGCGCGCCAACUUUCCACAAUAACACUGAAAAAUCUUUUUGAAGUGGGCAGCACUAAGUUUAUCCCUCUCAUCAGGUCCAUACAACCAUCGUGCAAUUGGCAAAGCAGAAUUUUGUUUCUUCAAACUUCUUCCAUCCUCACUAUAGCUGCUUGAUGGAGAUUCACAAAAAGAAGGUCAAGAAUCAUAAAUCCUUUUGACUAACUCUGGCGCAACUUUUUGCCCAUUGAUAGGCUCAACUCCAUCACUUUUGUCAACUGUAUCAACUUCUUUCCCUUCAAAAACUCAGAGGCUGCUUCCUCAUCAGAUGAUCUUGCUCCCUUGUCACAUAUAUUAGAACUUCUGGUACGUAACUGUUUCCUAUACUUGGCUCUUAUUGUAGAAAGGAUGUUCUCCCUACACCACCCGUAAUGACAAAAUAAUUAUACGAAAUUCAUUCUUUAGGUGAACUGUCCACGAAAUAGGUUAACAAUGACAAUUCAACGAAUUUCAGUGAAGUUCUGGCGGAGAACCAUAAAUACUAACAUGAAUUACACUGACAUUCUUUUCAUCAAUGUGUUAUUAAGGACUUACUUCUACUGAACAUGGAAAAAUAUUUUCCUUCUACAUUUUAAAGGGAAACCUCAAACUAGUAAGUGGCAUAAGCAAAAGCUUCAGCAAGGAAUAGUAGACUGUCUACUUACUAAAAACAGACCUCAAAAGAAUUCAGGAUUCCAUUAAAUUCUGAUAAAUGCAAAUCAACUUAGGCAGCAGUAAAUUCAUUCUUUAUACCAAUAAUUUCAGCAGGAAGGAGAUGAGAAUAUUUGCGGACAUCGCAUUCCCUUCCGGCAUCAAAGCUCCUGAAAAUCUCCCAAAUAAAAUAAAUGCCACUAAAUUGUAAGAGCAAAAACAUCGUGAAACAAAGAACUCCAUAAUUUUGAACAGGCAGCAGUAAAUGAAAGAGAUAUUGCAAUCUGGUUACAAUAUUUCUCCUUGUUUCCUGCAAAUUCUCUACUAAACUAUCUGUAAUAAUAUCAACAGAGCCACGCAAGAAGGGUUCAUACAGAUAUAUCAAUAUCCUAGGUGCUUAAACUUAAAACCGAGUUGCGCUCAUGAAUCAAAUGCACCACGCUCUUUAAAUUCAUAUUGUCUGAUAUUCUAAAGCAUCAGAUUGGAAACUAACUAGAAAACUGAAGUGUCUCCUGUAGACAGCUACAAAUGUAAGACGUUGAAAUGAGUGGUAAAGACACAAUACAAAAACUCGCCUUUGUGAUGGUAAAAUGCUGAACACGCGGAUGUUUUCUGGAAGAUAUGAGUUGACAUAAUUAGCAGGAGCAAUUCCGCUGGGGUCAUCCUUCUAAGCCUUUUCAGGGAUUUCCAUUUUAAAAGAUAUCAUCGUAGCCAGCGAAUGAACCUGAAAUGUAUAUUAUCUUGAGAGACCAACAACCAGCCAGGAACAGGUCAUGUAAUGCAAAAUAUCAGCAUAAAUUGGAGUUUGAGAAACAUACUCCUUUAUCAGUUCUGCUACUUCUUGCCCAAGCAAUUUUCUGCAAGUCUCCAAAGUUACUAUCACGAAUUCCGCCAGCUUUAUGAAUUGCCUUCUCCAGUUCACCUUCAAUAGCUGCAUUACGGAAUUGUAAUGCUUUAGCCCAAUUCCAUCCAUGCUAGCUAUGCUGAUGAGAUAUGUAAUAUGGACGAGUCAACAAUACGCUAUACCAUUAGAAUGGUAGAGGUUGUCCCCAAAAGUUGUUUUCCCACCUUUUUGUGAAGGUCAAGAUAAUCAAAAGUCUCUUAAGGUUCUUAAACUGCAGCGAAUGCAAUUAUAAAAGUUUCACAGCAAGCAAAAGCCUGCACUCCUCCAUAUAAAACAAAAUCCAACCAAAUGAUCGGGAAAUAUGUCGAUUUGAAAAAAAAUAAUAAGAACAAAAUGACCAUUUUUGCCAAUAAACUCACCAAAAAUUUUUGUUUUUAAGCUCAAAGUCUAAUUGGCUCAACCAAAGACAUUAAAGAAGCAGAAUUGGUCAAGCAAGACUAACGAUCAAGAAAACAAAUGAAGCACCCAGCCACGAAUGACGAUGCCAUAAAAACUCAAUCCAAAAGGGAAAUGGGAAAAAAAAAAAAAAGAAACUUACUGGGUAAUGCAUGUUCAUCCCUUUGCAUUUGCAGACCUGCCCACCAACAAUCACUAUUUAAUGAGCAACACUAACAAAUCACACCAAAUUUGAGCGGGCAAUUCUGUCACUAUUUAUCACACCAACAAUCACUAAUUAUAUUCGUUGGAAAGAGGGCAAUUCUGUCAGCAAAUUCAACGGAUAGAAAGUGCAAGCCACGCGCUUUGUUUCACCGUGAAAUAUGUGAACGGUCGUUUUCUUAGGGUGUAAAGUACCUAUAAACAUAUUUCGGGGUGUAUUGUGCAACGGCUAUGAAAGCUCACGGGGGUUUUCUGCAUUUAACCCUUAAUUUUAUGGUGUAUUUUUCUAUUGUUAGAUGCGAGCUUUUUCAGAGCUUGAUUGUCCGGUGCAUACACUUCCCACCGAAAAAAUUAAAUUGAGAUGAGUAAUGAUAAUGAUACAUACAUUAAUAAUAAUAAUAAUAUAUAUAUUAUUAGUAUAUAAAAAGUUAAUCGAUAUAUUAUAUGUUGUUCGAUCUGUUAAUUGAGAUUUCAGAAGAAGUCGGCGGCCAAAAUUACCAUUAUCUGCACCUUAGUGUCACGUACCUUUCAACCACAAGAUUCUGAAAGCCUCGAUUUGUAAAUCUUACAAGUGGAAUAACUGUUUAUCAUAAAAUUACUGCUAUUACCACUACUUUCAUCACAUUAUAUAUUAUUCCACGGCUAAUUUCUCUGCAUUGAAUGAAAUUUACACACUACUACUACUACAUUUCAUCUCAUUAUAUUACUCUACUGCUAAUUUCUUUACAUUGAAUAAAAUUUACAUAUGGUAUAAAUGAUGGUUAUGAAUUGGCAUAUUACAUUUGGAAGAAAAGCAAUUUUAUCGAAUAGUAAGCAGGUCAAAACUGCUUUAAUACCGGGUAUUAAUAGGCAAUAUGAUUCCAAAAAGGUAUUGGGCACCGCAUGUGUGUCACAUAGCAUGUCACGUGAUGAAUCAUUCUAUCAUCACAAUGAGUGACAUUAUUAGGUGAUUUUUGAUUGAUAGUAACUCGUUGUCGCGUUACCUUUGUUUGGAUCUCCUGUUUUUGGAGUAUUUUUCAAAUACAAUAAAAGUUACAACAAAGUACUCUAAAAGAUAAUCUAAAAAUUAGUUUAAAUUUUUUUAAAAUUUUACCAAAUAUCUCAUAAUAAAGUGUCAAUAAAAAAUAUUUUAAAAUAUUUUCUAAAAAUAUUUCAAAAUAUACUCUAAAAUUUCAAAAACACUCCCAAAAACAGCUAAUCCAAACGGAAGUAGUUAGUAUUUUAUCUUGGAUUUCCCAAAUUUAAAGGCCUCAAUAGUGUCUCCUAUAAAAAAUGUACAAGUUUCUUGCGAAGUCUGCCAGACGUGGAUGGUGCUUCGAUGGAUUCGAUUCUUACAGGAUGCACGCAUCCUUGUUGUUAGGGGUGGAUUAUCCGUUGAGGACAGCUGGAGUGUAUAGACUUUGAGCCGCCGGGGAAAUAAAAAACUCAUCGGCUAACUCGCGAAGGACUAUGGCCCUUUGGCAACUAUAGCGGGUACAUUUCAAACUGAGGGAUUGGGAAGGGAAGCCUCGUCCCCGUUGCCCGAUUGGCCUAUUCCUUCUGCCCACUCUCAAGACUCCACGCCUGUGUGUUGGGUCUUAUCAUUUAAAGUUAAAACUCUGCCGCCUUACCUUCAGCUUUGUUCGCUCUUUUUAGAUUUCACAUAUAUUUGUGGGGUGUUUGAAUAACAAUUAUUUGGCCAAAAAUUAUUUGUUUAUAUCACAGAUAUAAUUUUUAACACAUUUUUUUUUAUCUCAUAUACAUCACAUCAUUUAGGGUGUGGUUGCAAUAGGAAAAUUUAAAAUUUUUAUAAAUGCCUCGAUAAAAUUUUAAAUCUAAAAAAAAAAACUUGGAAAAUAUAUCUAGGGUGAAAGUUUUUAAAAUACAACAUUACAAUAAAAUUUUUAAAAAUACUUCUAAAAACACAUAAUCCAUACAAAUCCUAUGUUAUUUAUCUUUAUUAGUUUUGAAACUUCAAAAAAUCUCACGUUAUUGGGGCAGGGGCUUAGGAGAGAAAUGAAUAAUGGAAUUGUCCCAUAAAAAAUCUAAGCCUAAACUUGAUCAUCAAAACACUAAAGAGACUUGGCUAUCGCUGUGUUGCAAUCUCAAUAUCAAAAAGAUGCCUACAAAUCCUUUGAUACCAAUGCAUUGAUUUAUAUACAUUUUUUCUGGAAAAACUUCAAAACAUUUUUUUUUUUUAACUAUCUUCUUUCUCACUAACGCGUCUUCAACAAUGAUAUUACAAUAAAAUUUUUCUCAACGUUAUAGUAUUUUUAGGAAAAUAACCUUAUAGUACUCUUUGGAACGUGAUAUAGGCGACCAGCCCAAAGGUCGGUGGUUUCAUACGACCAAUUCACCUAGUUAAUUUUCUGCAUAAAAUAAAAUAGGGAUUUGAGCGUACCAUUACCAUCCCAAUUCCCACACGUGAAGUUGUGGUCCAAGUUCCAUUUCCAUAGCCUAUAGUUAACUAGCAUUCAAGAUUCAACUGCGGGAGCCUCCUUGGGGUUGGGGCACCAUGCAUGACACAGAAGCAUCGAGGACAUCGCCAUCCAAUCAUCCAUUCAUCCAUCUUGUUGGCUGUUGCUACUCUACUGCAGUUGAGUAUAUAGCAUAUAGUGCAUCUUUAUAUGUGUAGGCUAAUUACGUCUUUCUCAUGCUUCCCAAGACCACGACAUUCCUUGCAUUCGAUGCAACACAAAAUCUUUACUAAAAUUAAUAGACCAAUCCACAUAUGGACCUGAGCUGAAAAAACUACUAAUCUAUGAGGUUAUUUUUUCUUUGUUUCCCCUUCAACUCUUACUUAAGCAUCAACAUAAAAAUUCCAGUUGGUCUUCGCUUCUUCCAGUUGCAGUUUUUGUUUUCCAGAUCCACAAGAAACAAUCGAUGAGCAUCCAUCGUCCGCAACCCAGACAAGGACAAUUCCAGUUGGGGUAAGCUCCACUUUUUCCAUUUUUUCUUUUUUUUCCCCUCCCCCCGGGCGGGUAGUCCUACGGCCUCCACCCCUGUAAUCACUGCGUUUCGUUCCUAAUUCGGUCGCUUGGUCAUUAUAUCCUUCGGACUGGCCAAUACAAUACAGCUUUCCUCUUUCAGAAGCUUCUUUUAUAUUCCUCACAGUACAUUCCAGUUCCGUUCAAACCAAAGUCUAGGCUGUAGUGCUGGGAUCGCUACUGAUUCUUGGUUUGAGUAGAGAUGAGACGACGACCAGCCAAGCUUUUGAUCGAUCUUACCGGUUAAAAAGGUAACUGGGAAUGCUGCACUUGCACUUGCAUGCACAGAGAUUCGUGUUUCUUGCUGAAAGCAUUAACCUGCUGCUUGAGCAUGAUUCUGAAUCUGAUGCGAGUUGACUGCACACCCAGGAGGACAUUGAGUGGAUGUCUUUUAUAGGUGCAGUCGUUACCGUCUCGCAAACUACACGGGAAAAAUGUAGAGCUUUAUUGACUCUCUAAAUAAUAUUCAAUUGUCGUAGGAAACUUUGGCUCAUUCUUCAGCAUUUUCUGAUCACAAUUCGCAGGUGAAAUAGCUAGUUCUUGACAUGGACGAAGCGCCGGAGGAAUUGAGAAUAAGGGGAACAUCGCUCAUAACUCAACACAAGUCGUCGCCACUGUCGUUCCACCGUCACGUGAGUUUUAUUACCUUCACACGAGUCCAUACAGCAGUAUCUUAUCUUCCAAUUCCUUCCCACGGACUUGCGUUCUUAAUUAACUAUCAUCCUCCUAUGAAAUUGUGUCAGACUCAGACUGGCAGCCCAGAGGAUUUGUAUUCGACCAGAGCUCAAAAGCACUUUAAGACCACAAAAAGAGCUCUGGCCUCUCAAAUUGAAGAACCAAUGGAUACUCCUGAGAGCCCUAUCAGUGCAAUGGAGUUCCUGUGCAGACCAUGGAGUCCUUCUGCCUCCAACUUCCUGCAGUUAUUUCCUUCAAGUGUGAGUUUGCUACUUCCCAAAAACAUGCGUAGCACAAACGAUGCGCACUUAACAAGUUCGUCCUGUUAAAUUGUUCACUGACCCAAUGAAGAAACAAUCUAACAACGAAGACAUAAGAAACUGGGAGUGUUUGGGACCAUCUAAGAUUGUGAUCCAUCCGUGACCGCAACCAUGAAGUGGUGGCCCCAUGUCCAAACUUUGACAUUAAUCCACUUCAGUCUCUCUUUUGUCCUUCUGCUAGUAGUUUCAUGCUUUCUCGAACUAGGUGAAUAUGCAUUGAACUUGUAAUGAGCACAUACCGAAUUUGAUCCAAAGUUCACCGAGUUCUGAGCUAUAAUCGGUACACACAAAAUGUGGCAUUGAAUUUGUAGAAUCUCUCGUUUGCCCAGUAUGACAGGGCCAGAGCAGAAGAUCAUGAAAAUCAACCAGAAGAAGCAUUGAAGCACACCCCAGAAAGGAACCAAGUGCUUAUAAUCAACGAGAAAUUCAGUAGAGUAAUGAUCAAUCUCUCCCAUCAAUGUUCAGGAAUUCAUUCGUUUAUUAGUAGUAAUAACCAGCGAUUUCACAGUCAUCCCUAGCCUUGGAGGUGCAAGAAAUUUGCCAGGUGAUAUUCAACUGAAACAGACCUGUGUUACAACUCUUUGAAUGCCAACUUCUCUAGAAAAGAGAUUCAAGUUAGUAAACGUUUUUUCUUCCCAAAUUUGUGCUCCGGCCUUGUUCCCCACAGCUAGUCCAGUGCUCUUAUGCUCAUAGGAUAGGUUAAAAAUCAUCUAGUUGUACUCUACAUUCCUCAUCUUGAUAUUAUGUACAUUUUGGUUAUGUAGAUGAACUUGAAUCACGUGAAAGGAUGGCCAAAAGGCAAAUCGCUCUCUGGCUUCUUCAGAUCUUGUAAAGAGAAGAAGAAAGAUGAAAUUCGAUGCCACACGGCCAAACUACAUGCUGCACUUUCACUUACAGAGCUUGCUGCAGCAAUUGCACGCUUUGCAACCAGUACCAGCACAGAAGCACAAAACAUCAACCGAAAAGGCAAUGGUGAAACAAGGGCAAUAUACGAGGAAAUGGGAGGUGCUGUUGCUACUGCAGCAGCAUUGAUGACUACUGUAUGUGCUGAGGCAGCAGAAUCUUUAGGUGCAGAUAGAGCUCAACUUGCAUCUGCAGUCAAUUCUGGCCUGGCCAUCGGUAAUCCUAUUGACAUGAUGGCAGUAACAGCAACAACAUCAACAUGUAAUGUUAAUAAAUUUUCUUCUGUCCAACUGCAUUUCCGUUCUUGUACAUUUCUUCCUCUUGCUAUGACCCUCUUAAGUAAAUGACUCAUCGACUCUUAGGAACUUUAACUUGAUAGAUGAUGUGGAAUAGCUCCUAAUUAUCAGGUUUAAGAGGUGCUGCAAUUCUGAAAUCAAGAACUAUGGCAGACUCCUUGAGGAUCCAAGGGCUGCUUAGAGCUUGCACUGAGAUAUGUAUAAUCACCCCAUCAGGUAAAUGAGAAGUGUAUGUUUUAUAAAAGGACGUGCACAUGGAAAUGUUUGAUGCAAGAACAUACCCAACAUAAAAGGACUUCUGCUUGUGAAACUGAUGUUUUAUAAAAUGCAGGUCGCAGAGAACACAAAUGGGUCACCAUACAUUCAAAGCCCAAACAAAUCACACUGUCCUUCAAGAAGAAGUAUUUUGGAGGAACCCUAUCAAUUUCGAAAGAGUGUAUGGCCUUAUUUAUUCUAUUUCUGAUUUUGUCAGCAAGGAAAAUAACCCCUUUCACCCAGUCGUUGACUUGUGUCUCCUCUUUUUUUUUUUCCCCCUGUAAUCCCUCUUUCCAAACCUUGGGGGGCUUAUGGCUAGUAGGUCACUAGGUCUCUGAUAUAUUUCUUGUCAUCAUUUUCUGGUUAUGAGGGAUGGAAGGCAGUUCGCAAGAGAUGGAUAUUUUCUCGAAACAAAAGAAUAGGGUCAAUGGAAGCCUAACAUAAAACCUAAUACCUUUUCCUUUUCCAGACAAGCUUAUCUGUAUCGAGGAAGCAAUGGAAGGCGAGGAAUACUUCUUCCUAAGUUUGAGGACAAACAAUGGCAUCAUCAAGCUACUAUUCAAAGAUCAGACGCAAUUGAACAUCUGGAUAUCAGCCAUUUCCAGUCUCCUAAAGAUGGCACAACCCCAGCCAUUUCUCAGCUAAGAAGUCACCAGCAUCGUACCAUCCAUGAUUCAGUUCCAAGGGAAACAAAACACAAAUCAAUUAGCCUAUAGCUUGAUGGCUGUGAUACUUUCUUUUCUGUAUGUCCCAUUUAAACAGCUUAUCCAUAUCAGGGAAACAAUGGAAGGUGAGGGAUACUUCUUUCUCAGUUUGUGGACAAAACAAUGGCAUCAUCAAGCUACUACUUGAAGAUCAAAAGCAAUAGAACAUCUGGACAUCAACCAUUUCCCAGCCCCUAAAGAUUACAACCAGCCAUUUGUCAGCUAAUUAGUCACAACCAUUUUACCAUCCACCAUCCAGUUACAAGAGAAACAUUACAAAAAUCAAAUACCCUAUAUCAUGACUCUUAAUACUUUCUUUCUGUUAUGUCCUAUUUAAUUGAAUACAAUUCUACAGAAAUUCCAUGAAGCGGAAAAUAGAAAUGAAUAAGCAAGACGUAUUUAUCAAAAUUGAAAAACUCAAAAAGACUAUUCCCCGCUUUAAUGGAACAGUGACAUGGUCCACAAGGACAGUUGUUGUGAACAGUCAAUUUAUGCAUUCAUCACCUUUCUUCUAAACACUUUUUUACACCUACAGAAAUAGCAACACUGACCAUACAGAGACCACAAUGCACAACUAUAGGAAGAGGAGGAAGAAUUUUUGCCAAGCACAACUAAAUACACAGCUAAAACAUUUGAAUUCCUUAAAUAUUUUUGCAUGACAUCCUCAGUGGAUGCAGACCGAGUCUGGCCACCUGGUAUUUUUAAUUCAUAGUUGAAAGAUCUGAAAAUCAAUCUUAGUUUUGGAAGACAUCAUCAGUAAAGAUACCCUCAGAGGAGCCACUUGGUAUUCGAAGUUCAUUUCUCCUCGAACUCAACAUCAAUUACAUCGUGUUCAGACUUUGAAGAGGAACUCGAACCUUGGCUCCCUCUUGAAAAGAAGUCACCUUGAGGCUGCCAUACUAUAUUUCCACAACUUGCACAACGAACCGUCUGGUUUUUAUAUCCAGCAAACUGUCUCCUACAUGCAGGGCAUGCUCCCUGCUCAUACAAACACGAUAAGUACAGACGCAUUUUUAGGUAAUAUUCUUCUAAGAAGUCACAUUUCAGUAAAUGGUAAUUCUAUGCAAAUCAGUAAAUUAUUCCUGGCACAGAAAUUCUGCCACAAGGAACAAAACUAUUCUGUUAAAGCCCUACAUCCCUGAGGGAAAGAGUACAUCCAAUGUGCAUUCACAUGUAAACUACUUAUGGAAGGAAAAGCUUCACUCUCAUCCCUGAUGUACAAUUGCAAAGAGCCACCAAAGAAUUCCAUUUACCUUGAUGACAAGAUUGUUGGCGACAGCCCCUAUUAAAAGAGGACCAGCAAAUGGCAGCACCCACGUUGCAAAUAUCAGGAAACGAAACAGCCAUCCAGAAAGAGCAAACCACAGGAAGAAAAUUGUCUACACACAGAAAAUUAUAUUAGCAUUUUAGCAUGACAUGCUAACAUUUGAGCGUGUUAUUACUAUAGAAAUAUCAGAAGGGUAUGGGCCACAUGACCUGGGACAGAGACAGAUAAAAUAGAUUCAAGCCACAAACAGAAAUAUCAAUUAUCUAUGCAACUAUAACAUUCUUCUUUGUAUGCAGGUCUGCUUCGAUUUCUUUCCUUUAUAUUCAUCCAGUUAGCUAUAUAAAUUUUUAUUGUCGAUGUCUAGCCAGAAGAUUUAUGAUUUAGCAUAUAUGAUGUUACAAAAACUUUUUUGCACAAAAAUAUCAGUUACAAAAGUGAAAUGAAGUAUCUUUAUGAUUGUGGGCAUUCAUAUGCAGAACAUGAAUGAUCUGCAGAUAUUGUCCCAGGAUAGAAGAUAAGAAUUUAAAUGAUAAAACAACAUGUGCAUGAUUUAUAAAAAAAUCUAGACAUUUUAAACCCUUGGGAAAGUUUGACAAAACAUUUAUGUUGUCAUCCGCCUGGCUUCCAGAAUCCAGAAAAUAUUUCAGACAAGAUAAAGGUGCCAAUUGACAAGAAAGCAAGUACAUAGCAAAAUAUUGAUGUGAAAACAUUAGAAAAGUGUUAAAAAUUAAAAGAAUUGGGGAAGAUGUUCAUAAUCAAGUUACUAGCACUAGG
rnacentral:lncRNA from 1 species